AGCUCUGCUCACCAGGGACAGGACAGAGACCCCAAAGGGACAGCCCAGGGACCCCCUCCUCCAGCCACACCCCACCUGCUGCAGUCACCACCCAGUGAGUCCAUCCAAGUGGAUUAAUCCACUAUGAGUCUACACCCAGUGAGUCCAUCCAAGUGGAUUAAUCCACUAUGAGUCUACACCCAGUGAGUCCAUCCAAGUGGAUUAAUCCACUAUUGGUCUACACCAUGCAAAAUGGCAGCAGGGUAAGUCCUUGGGGUUGGGUGGCGGUCGGCCAGGUCUCUCGUUAGCCUCCAUUCUCAGUGACGUGGAAGGGGACAGAGAAGUCGUCCUUGCCCGGCGUCGUUCACAAUGUAGAACCCGCACCUCGGCCCCCAAAAGUUAAAGCUCUGUGCAUUCAGAAGGUCGGUCUGAGUUUCGGGCGCCAUCUGUGGUCAUGGGCGAGAGGAGGGUUCAGCCUCCGUCACAGAGUGGAACCUGACCAGACGGCUUCACCUCCUAUACCAGACGCCAGACGCAAGCGCCCGGUCGAGAAGCGACGGGGUCCAAACAGAUGGGAGGCGACUGCUCCGUAGAGUGUGUUCCUCGGGCGGCUCCGCGACGGUCCACGCAGAGCGCGUUUGGAAAGCGUGGAUUUUUACCUGUUAAUACUUGCAGACCAGCGUUUCUGACCUUACGCUUCGAACAUUUGGGGCCGCCUAAAUCUCAUCCCGGGGACCGCUGGGUGCCCGGGAGCGUGCUGAGGAGCAUCUGGUCUCUACGUGUAGGAAUCAGCACAGUGUGACACUCCGUGACGUGUCUGGCUGGUGCCAGAUGGCCUCACGGUGGGCGAAAUUGCUCCUGAUGGAGAACCACACGCAGGAGAGCUAACACCCCUGCAGCGUGUGCCGCCAGCCAUUAGGAGCUGGGAGGACUGGUUCGCCCUCGUGAUCACUUACCGAGAGGAGACGGUGGCGGGGGGGAAAGCACCUUUCCCAUUUGGAGAUUCCAACCCCAGUGCCCUGGGACCUGCCAUUCCUGAGCUCAGAUCCUCACUCCGUCACUCAGCCAUGAAAUAUAUUCCACCCUCUGCAUCGGGGAGCUAACCAACCUCGGAGAGAAAAUAUCUGGAAAAAACAAAAAGAAAAUCGUCUUUACGGAACGUGCACAGAAUCCUUCCUCGUCCUGGUCUCCUAACGAGUGUCGUUUAAUGAGGUCUCUUAAUGAGGUAGCGUGUGCAUCCGGUAUCUUAAGCCCUCUCAAGAAUCACCCCCUUCUCUGAACGUCCUCAAUAGUCUCUUUAAGAGAGUUUGAAUCCAUCUACGUAAAAAGUUUGAUUUUCUACAACUAAGAAUAAAUUUAGAUUUGAUUCUCUAUGACUAAGCGCCUUUAUCUCACCAACUUUGAAGAAAUACGCAUCGGGAUCCUUCUUUCUUCUUCUUUUAUCUUUUAGAUCUUCUGCGUUACAUAUUUUCUGAGUUUUUUUAUUUUAUUUUAUUUAUUGAGUCCAUCUCCGGGGGACCACCAAACCUCAUCGCUCUGACUCUCCCAUAACCUCGAGUCUAAGAGUCAGAACUUGGAGAACUUUCCACCAGGUGCUUGCCACUUCCGUCGCUGGGGUCACGAGGCUCUUUUCUGAAAAGCAAUCCUGUUUUCCGCCUCUCGGCCUCACCCCAGCUACACGGACACGGCUAUCCGUCAUCUAGUGCAUCACGUCCGCUAUUGAGGUGAGUCAUUCAUCCGGGGCGCGACAUUGUCCAAAAGUGAGGUCUCAAUUUGCAUCGAUAUUCCUGAUACUCUUUUUAUUUAUUUUUUGGAGAAGCAAUAGAUUGCUUUUGUUGACUGAGCUCCGACGUAUUUCAGAAUAUCUUACUUUUUAUCUGAACGGUUAAUCCACCGGGUCUAGAGUUACUUGUUAUUCAAGACUCCAUUGAUGUUUUUUCAAUCUAUUUUUAAAUUUUUCUUCUUCUUCUUAUUAUUAUUCUUGGGAUUGAAUCCAGGGGUGCUCUACCACUGAGCUACACCCCCACCCCUUUUUAUUUUCAGACAGAGUCUGGCGAAGUGCUUGAGGCUGGCCUCACACCUGCCGUCCUCCUUCCUCAGCCUCCCAAGUUGCUGGGAUCCACCAUAUCCACCUUCACUCUUUUCCUCAUUGGACUCAGUGAACUGCACCCAUUUUUAACAUACAAUUAUUUCUCUAUUUUUUAUAUUUUGUCUCUUUUUUUCUCCUGGGCUCCCAGAUGACUUUACCCCCCUCUCUUUUCGGGCAGUUAUUCGAACGUCCACUCUUUGCCCCCCGGAGGAUGUGGGUUGGUACUCUUUAAUUCCUUGCUCAGCCGUCCUCCAGUGGGACCACCCAGCUCUGUGGUUUUGAGGUCUUUGCAUUAUCUCUCGGGUCUCUGAGCGACAUGGGAACAGCGGGCAGGGAGUGAAACGUGUGCCGUGGCUGCCCGCGGCCACUGUCUGGGACCAUCUGCUUAAUCCGUUUUGUGUUGCUGUCACAAAAUACCUGAGGCGGGGUAAAGUAGAAAGAAAAAAAGGUACACCCCAGGAUUCUGAUGGUUGGAAGGCCACAACGGCAUUCCUCAGGCUGUGGUAAGGGCCACCCAGCUGUGUUACAAUAUGGCGGAGAAGGAGGAACGUAACCAACUACAUUCAGGUGGUACUAGGAGUGUGGUGCACAGCACAGCCUCCCUGGACAGCAACCCACUCUCAUGAGACCUAAUUCCGUCAUAGGAGACGGACACCGUCCCUUGGGACACCAUUAAUCCCACCUCUUCAAGGUCCCACCACCUCAAUCCCACCCAUCUUCCAGCAAACUAUAUUCAAACCACCGUCCUGUCCAACAAGUCUCUUGGAGCCAUCCAUUCCCGGGCGCCAUUUUGAAACAUGCCCAAGUUGAGAACCUGGCAGGUGGGCAUCUCCAGGACCCUCAUUUCAGAGACCACACGUGCAAAAACCGUGGCAGACCUGGAGGGCAGUGACCAGCUCAAGAGAUUUAGAGCUUUAUGAGCCAUCAAGGGAGCUAAGAAUAGAAUUGUAGCUAAAGCCACCAAAUCGCCAAUCCCCCUGCGGUCUAUAUGAGUCCACCUAAUCCUCCAUCGAGGUUCAAGAGGGCAACCGACUGUCUCCCUAGAGCCAUGGACGCUAUGUCGUUGGUGGCUGCAAAAAAAGACACUCGGCUCUGUAGGGAUUUCAUAGACGUGAUUACGUAACAAAGUCCCGGGGAUUUAGGCGAUGGCUUCAUGCACUCUGGUCAUUUUGUGCAGAGAAGGAAAAUCCUGCGGAAUUUAGGGCUUAGUUAUCGUCUUACUGAGGCACAAGGAUCUGCUUAGUCACAAAGCCUGCGAGAUAAGUCCCGGGACCGACACUCUCAACGGACCCUUCCCCUCCUCGGGGAUAAGACCCAAAGGGGUCACCAGACAAGCACUGACUGUCACAUUUCUCGGAAGGAUGACAGCUCAGGUCGCAUGGCUUUUCUCUUCAGGGUUUGGAACAAGGACGACUCACGCUACGUAUCCCCAACACUGGGUCCCGGUUAUGGUUGGCAUUUUGGGUGUCCUCCAAAGAGUUCCCGGGUUAGGCAGCCCAGGAAAGCUCAGAGGUGACAUGAUUGGACGGUGCCCUCCUCAGUGUGUUUGAUGGGUUCAGAAUUCGAAUGCACAACCGGGAGAAGGUGGAAACCAGAGGCAGGUGGGUUAUAGUUGGAGGAAGUAGGUCACUGGGAACAUGCUCUUAGGGACUAUAUCUUGUCCCUGGCUUUUUGGGAGACUAUAUCAUGUCCCUGGCUUCUCUCUCUCUCCCCUCUUUCUGUCCGCCCUCGACUUUCUGGCUACCAAGAGCUGAGCAGCUUUCCUCCCCCAAGCCCUUCUGCCAUGAUGUUCAGCGUCACCUCAGGCGUAGAGCCAAAAUGGGACCUGUCCUCCUCAAAGUUCUCUUCAUGUGUCUUGGGUACAAUGAUACGAAGCUGACUGGUGCAUGACACCCACCGAUGGGGUUGGGUGGUGGGUUGGUGUGUUUUAUGAGCUGCAGACGUGAUGAUCCAUGGACCCGUGGUGGAAUCCUUAAGGGAUGGAGCCCAGGAGACAUAAUUAGGGCCUUUUGUCACUCUCUGUGGUCAUUCCCUACCACGAUGCCAUCUGCCAUGUAGUGGUGUAGCCAGUAGGUCCUCACCAGAGGUGAGUGGGUGCUCAGGGACCUUCAGAACUAUGAGCUAAGAACCCUUUUUCCUUUAUGAGUACUCGUCUUCAGGUAUUGUGUUAUAGCAACACGGAAUAGACAAAUAGAUCCACUGGAUGACAUUCUCUUGGACAGGACACUGGGGUGACAAGAUACUCGGGUGGCAAUUUCCCGUCCUUCUGAUGAUCUUCUCUAGUAUCUUGAAGAGUAUUUUGAGAAGCACUUCCUGUCCUUCUGAUGAUCUGCUCUAGCGUUCUGAGGUCUAGGAGACAUCAGUUUACCACUGUGCUUCUAUUGAAUGGGAGUGGGGCAUGGAAAGGGUCUGUAUUUCUUUUCUUUCUGGAUUAAUUAUUGUCAUCCUGUCCUUCACAGAGAGCUCCUUGUUUUCAUUAGAUGUCAUCGGGUGUCCUACUCUCGCAGGACAGCGCUGAUGUAACUCAGUUCCGCCAUUUUGAUGGUACUGAUAUGGCUCUUGGGUCCACCCAUUCUAUGAGAAUCAUCAACACCAUGCCUCCUAAUUCUGGUUAAAAAUGUUAACAAAUGGAAGUAUUUCGAGGUAUUUGGGGCCACAUUCCAUUGUAAGGCUGUGUGCCCAGUAGUCCCAAAUGGUCCAAGCGUGCUGUGGCUGCCAUCUUAGAUCCCGUUACUCAAAGGAUGCGAAUGGUGUUUUUUUCCCACUACAAGUUUUGUGGUGUCUGCUGCUCCCUCCAUCCACAGGGACACCCACAGGCUCAGCCUCGCUAGCUGUCAAGGCACCUGAUAGGAGCGGGAAGAUAUUUUCAGUAACGGAUACUGCCGAGCAAGCGUCCCUGUGUCCUCGUCAAAGCAGAUAAGGAACGGUGACCAGCCUUCGCUCGAGUUGCGUGGUGUGCUUGAGUGCUGACGGGACCUCCUUUGACCUCUCCUGUUCUGUUAGACUCUAUUUUAUCUUGUUAGCAACACUCAACAGGGAAAAAACGUCAGGCUCACCGCGCCACGGUCAACCUAGGAAUGGUGUGCAGAGGGUCUUUCAAAUUCUCCAUCUUGCUUAACUGAGUACCUAUUUAUCACCUGGCUUCUCUCCUCCUGGUCUCUGACAAAUAUGGUUCUGCUUCUGUGAGUUUGAUUAUUUCAGAUCAUCCAUGUUAGGGUGUAGAUACGAGGUGUCCCAUCAGGGUUCACAUGUGACACCAUGCGAGAAAGCUCACAGGUGAAAUGAGUGGGUUAGGAGAGGUGUAGACUAAUAAGUGGAUUAAUCCACUUGGAUGGACUCACUGGGUGGUAACUGCAGCAGGUGGGGUGUGGCUGGAGGAGGGGGUCCCUGGGCUGCGCCUUUGGGGUCUCUGUCCUGUCCCUGGUGAGCAGAGCUCUGUCUGCUCCCUGGUGCCCUGUCCUGAGCUGCUCUCCUCCUCCAGGCCCUGCCGCCAUCUUGUUCUGCUCCCCUUGGGCCAGAGCCAGGGAGUCGGCCACCAGGGACUGAACCUCGAACACCAGGAGCCCAAAUCAACUUUUCCUCCUCUAAAUGCUCAUGUGUGAGAUGGUGCAGGAACAUUCAGAGGCCCUGCCGCCAUCUUGUUCUGCUCCCCUUGGGCCAGAGCCAUGGAGUCGGCCACCAGGGACUGAACCUCUGAAUCCACAAGCCCCAGAUCAACUUCAGUCGUGGUCCCCUGGGUAUUCGUACCCCCUUGUCUUUAUCCACUCAUCCAGUGACGGACACGGGCUGAGUGUCCGUCCAUGUCCUGGCCAUCUGCAAUAGCGCAGCCGCAGACUGGGGACUACAGAUGUGUCUUCAUCGUUGGAUUUCGUGUCCUUGGGAGAGAUACCCAAGUAUCUGAUUUUUCUGGAUGCCGCUGGAAGCAUUCGAGAGCCUGGUGACAGCGCCCUGUUCUCUUCCCCGCACUGAGACGUCCCUGCAGAUGACACCUUUCCCGUCGCCUCCCCUCUCCUGACACCUCGCUGUGUGAGAAUGUACCUGCGAGGGCUCUUGCUUUUCUCUCUUCGCGAGGGGGGAGAAAAUUAUACCGUGGGUGACAUCUGGCCCCUUCUCGUGCUGGAUCCCCAUCUGGGCUGUGCCUCUUCCCACACAACAUCUGCCGGCUCCUUUUUUUAAAAUUUGGGAGGUCCUCUGGCUGCCAUUUUUCUGAGGCUGCCUCCACUUUUUUCGGUGAACGAAAAUGAAUAGUCAGACCCGCCCAUCCCCAGCGGGCGUCAGAACCCAAGGGACUGACCCCACGUGGAACCAGAAGGUGGGCGACAUUGCCCUUGCGUGCAGGUCAGCUCCCGCCCUGGCUCCGUGUCCACUUCCAGGACCGGAGAGCCAAGCCCCCAGGAUGCCCAUUCCCCGUCCUUCUGAUGACCUCCUCUCCGUCUUUUCUGGGUGGACCUGGACUUGGUUCCAUGCCUGAUAUUGGGCUUGGAAUUGGUGGGUCCCUUUGUCCACCUUCCGUUGCUACAAUAAGAUACCCGAGACCCCUUCAUGUGGAGAGAAAAUGGGUUUUUUUUAGCUCGAAGUUCAGGAAGGUCGAGAGCAGGGCACUGGAUGCCGCUUUGCCCUGCUGAGCACCCCUUGGUGCGUCUGCUCACAGCCGGGGUCUCACAGGGACCCGAAUAAUCCCUUUCCACCCCCCCCAUCACCUGCAUGAUCCAGCCACCGUCUACACAGCCUGUGCCCAAAGCCGACCUCCACCAGAGCAGGGGCAUCUCCAGCAGGUGCGACUCCGAGAUCCUUCAGCUGCAGGGACCGGUGGGGACCCUCGCUCCCUUGGAGAAGCUGGGGAAGCAGGAGGGGUCACCCGUUGACCAGAACAAUGGUCCGCGAGGACAGAGGACCCCAUGGGCAGCUCACAGUCCACCUGGGGUCAGGGGCUGCCCUUGAGCCCGUGAUAUGCCACAGAGACACUGGUACUGGGACGACGCUGUGUGACUCUGCCUGCCCCCGGGAAGAAGUGACAAAGGGGUUAGACUCGGGGGUGGAUGUCCUUUCGGAUGACUUAGGCUGAGGGUGACGAGCAGCUGGAGGAGGUCACCAGAGGAGGACGGAGGGACUUGUGCUAUUUCGGGGAGACGCUUUGACAGCAGUUGCCAGGCAGCGGGCAGCUCAGGCAGGACAACCGGGUGGUGGAAAAGUCACCCGUUUGCCCACAAGAUGGUGGGCGCUCGCCGAGGACCCGGAGGGCACGCGUUGGAUCCUCGAUGGCUCAUUGUGUCCUUUACGCAGAGGGACUGGACAGCCGUCCACUCUGCAGAAGGCAAAGGACGUUCCCAUCUCAGGAGGAUUCACUCUUCCCAGUCACCUCCCUCUGACCCAAUGUCCUAAGGGACAGCGAUGUCAGGAAAUGAGGGAUUUUGCAGAAAGAUGUUCCAGGGAAGCAGGGUCCGUGUGCAUGGGUCACUGUCCCCUAGAGGGACAGAUUUCUUAAACGUGUGUCUAUGGAAAGAAGUGGGCUCGUGGGAUAGUCCUAGAGGGACGUCCUCCAUCUGCCGGGCGGCCAUCAGGCUGGACAUGGGGAGGAGCUGAUCUGGCACAUGGAGCCCCAGGGCCAGGUGGGAGGCAGCGUCCCUUCUGGGUCCAGCCCGGGCGUCCGUGAGUUCCCAGGGAAGGACGUGAACGGCUCCUGUGCUUCUCAGCUGCUGAGUGGACCUGGGAGCUAUUUUUGUGCUCGGGGACUUGGAAGGAAGGCCACACUGUCCCCAAAGGCAGAGAGAAGCCAGCCAGAUGGGCUCGCGGGUCAGCACCAGCCACGGUGACCUCCCGCCCAGGGGCCACAAAUAGAACCAGCCCUGGGACAUCCGGUGAAGGUCCAGGGUGACGAUGGCCCGGUAAAGGUGACUCCGAGAUGCCGUUGCGGGUUGCGCUUUGACGACACAGUGAGGUGACCAGGGCAAGGCUCUGACCCAACGGGUCACUAAGCUCCUGUUUAGAGUCUGAGCUUUCUCAUCUGGGAUGCGGGGCCCUGAGCCACCUCUGGUCACCACGCCGUCACUUUGGAGGAUGGUGACGGUCUAAGGAAUCCCGUGCUGCUGGACGUGCUUGACCUUGAUGGGACCUCGGGUGGGAAUCUCAUGUGGAGGAUGGGCUCCUCCUGGGGCAGGGGGCCCUCGUGCCAUGGCCGUGUCCUCCCCAGAGACAGAGGAGGGGACACAGACCCAGAGGAGGAGCCCCGUGGAGACGGAGGCAGAGACUGGAGUGAGGGGCCACCAGCCCAGGGCCACCUGGAGCCCAGGAGCUGGACAGGCAGGAGGAGCCCCCUGGGGCCCUGGAGGGGGCUGGACGCCAUGGUAAGAGGCGGGUCCUGUCCACCUCUGGACCCAGGACCUGGUGCGGAGGGCGCUGCGUCCAGUCGUAGCAGAUUUGGUGCUGGUUCUCUCCAAACUCAAUUCCACAUUGAAUCCCCAAACCUGGGCACAGGACCUAGUUUGGAGGCGGGAGUGGCCGCCCACCCGCUGUCCACCAUGAGUCCAUCGUCUCCAUGGACCCCGAAGCACAAGUGUCUCCCAGACCAGGGGAUGAAACCCUCCCACCCUUGAGCUGCCGGGAUCCUCUCGUCCUUAGGGGUCGGUGUCCCAGGGGUGACCGUGACGGUGCUCGGAGACCAACGCAGACCCGUGCAAGGGCCAGUGCUCUGCCGCGGAGCUGACCCCUGAGUUCCUUACCCUCGUUUCUUAAUUUGUCUUGGGGGUUUGUUCUUGUUGUCCUCGACGUCACUUCGUCGUUCGUGUUUACUGAGAAGAACUCGGAUGUCUGGUUGAGAGAGUCACGUGUCACAUCCCGACCCCAUCGGGACACUUGGUGCGUGUGCCACCUCUCGCGCUUCACCAUCGCCGUGGGGAAGGAACGUGCCACCGUCUGUCAGCCAGCUCUUUUGAACGCUGCAGCAGCCGAGUGCUGACGACCGACCGUCAAGGACACGCUGGGGACAUUCAUCAGACGGUAUAGGAAAUGGACGUCAGGACGGGGCGCUGAGAUCUGCGUCCCCUCCUCUGCCUCUUGGGACACAGCUCUUCUUGCAAAACCUGAAGGAAUCUGCGAGACCCCAUGGGCCCCCUGCCCCCUUUCCUGAAUGCUAGUCUUUCUUACUAAUUUUUUGCUAUUUCCUCUUAUGUCUGUGGGUCUGAUUAGAACCGGUUUCUUUGAUUAGAUUUUUUUGGCUAAUCAGUAUUUUCUCAGAAAAAAAAAAAAUAUAUUCUUUCCUGGAGGUUUUUUUCUUAAGUGGAUUUAGCCUAGCGGCAAUAAGCACCGGGAAACUGCCAUUACAGAACGUUCUUCUUGGGGUCCUCUUUCCGAUUUGUGCAUUUGCAUUUUUUAGCCUCAUUAAUAUAUUAUGCAAAACCCCCUCCAGCCCUCCCCUCCCCCUGUCCCUUCCUGGGCACCCGGACACACAGGUCACCCUGUCACUCCCGGCUGCAGAGCCGGACGUGAGAUUUCUCCACCUGGAAGGUGGCGCCGGCCACUCUAGCUGGGUAUAAAACUCUGCCCCGGGGAAACACUGUUGCCAGAGGUUGAAAAGCCAGUCGCUUUGCCCUCUGGGGGCCGCACGGGUGGGUCCACCGAUCCUUGUAUCCCCAGCUCUAGAGACCCGCAAAGUGGCGAGAGUGCCCUGUGUCCUGCGUCUCCACGCAUCUCUUAAAAUUUAUUAAAAUUUAAUUAAUUUAAUUAAAAAUGGCUCCUGUCCCUACAGCAUGCAAACCGGGGACCUGUCCCCAGCCCCGUUGCUUGCCUUUAAGGGAAAAGUUGGUCGAAAGCAACGUGCGUCAGCGAAUCGGCGGGUGAUGUCCUUUUUGCAAUAAGAAAUGUCCCGGGAGGUGCCCUAGCGUGUUCCGUGUCUUCACAGACGGGACCGACGGGUGCACAGCUCUCCACGCUGAGUGUGGAGAAUCUCUUGCACCUUAUGUGACCCUCCCGGAAACAUCAGCGUCAAUUUUCAGUUUUCCCUUAAACUUCUCCCAAAUAGGAGGCCAUUCCCUGCCCCUCCCCACCAGGCCUAAGACUCUUCUCUUGGGGUCCACUCAGAACCCAGUCUCCUCUUCUUUCGUCUCCCAGUUUAAAGACUUACAUCGACCCUCGGCAUCUGUCCCCACAGAUUGGUCCCCCGUCCUCCUGGGGGUACCCAAAUCCUCGAACGCUCACGUCCUGGACACAAGAUGGUGCAGUCCACAACCUGUCAAUCACAGGCAAACCCACCUCUCUCUCCCACGCUCAGGAAGAGGGUGUCCCUCGCUGGGGGUCACCUUGGGACAUGGCUGUCUCACUGUUCGUGACUUUUCCUGACCCAGGGCUGAUUCCGAAUGGGAGAGAGGCCAACCUGUAUGGAAAUGAGCCUGGUACGCAGGCUGGCGGUAACCCCGUGUCUCUG